AUACGAAGGGCCCGAGCGUUAAUCAGAAUCACUGGGCUUAAAGCGUGUGUAGGCGGACAUAAAGGCGCCUUGUGAAAUCCCUCGGCUCAACCGAGGAACUGCAGGGCGAACCAUGUGUCUUGAGACAGGUAGGGGUCGUCGGAACGGUAGGUGGAGUGGUGAAAUGCGUUGAUAUCUACCGGAACGCCGAAGGAGAAGUCAGGCGACUGGGCCUGUUCUGACGCUGAGACACGAAAGCGUGGGGAGCGAACGGGAUUAGAUACCCCGGUAGUCCACGCCGUAAACGAUGUGCACUAGGUUGGGGAGGUUUUGACGCCGUUCCCGGCCGAAGCAAAAGUGUUAAGUGCACCGCCUGGGGAGUGCGGUCGCAAGGCUAAAAACUCAAAGUAAUUGACGGGAGCUCACACAAGCGGUGGAGCAUGUGGCUUAAUUCGAUGCAACGCGAAGAACCUUAUCCUGGGUUUGACAUGUAUGGAUUAACUCCCUGAAAGGGGAGCCACGCCCUUGUGGUGGAACAUACACAGGUGC
rnacentral:rRNA from 1 species